UGGGCGAUCCACUUACAUUUCACACCCCCCCAAACUGGUGAAGUGGAAAUGGCCAGCGAAGGAAAGGAAGCCAAGCCCAGCCUGCCACAGUUUGCAGAGAGGGAGCCCGGAAGAGGAGCCGCGCAUCAGAGCAUUGUGUUGGCGCACCACACGCAGUGCCGCCAUGGCCUGUGCCUGCUGCACUUGACUAACCAAAUCCUCCUGAUCUGCAGCGCUUGUUGUAUCCGACCGAUUGUCACACUUGCACACCGUGACGCCACCCAGCCGACAGGCAUUCACCUCUCCACCAGGCACCUUCAUUGAAUAUAAGUGAGCAUUUUGAACUCUUGCCCUAGUCCAGUUUUGUGAACAAUCAGAAUACUGCUAAAGGGGGAAGAGAUACAGAUGAAAUAAAUCCAGUAACACACAGAUUUCACCUGGAUUAACCUAGAGAAUUUGUUUUAAAGACAGACCAGAUGUCCUUAUUGUUUUGUACACGGAGCACUUUGUAGGAACUGAAGAACAGUAUUUGAUCUUCAAGAAAAACGGUCAUCCCUUUAAUCUACAUAAAAACUUUUUUCGCGUAGAGAAAAAAAAUAAUUCUAACCAAAUUUCCAUUAUACUUUAAACAAAAAUUUCCAUACAACAAGCCAGUUGAUUAACAAACCUGGAGGAAAACUGUCCCCUGUUACAUUGUCAAGCCCUGGAGAUAAGGAAAGUGCUUUCACUUGCAUUUACAUUUAAAAAUUGACCUUAAAAAACACAGAAAAUGUUAACUAAAAGUAUGUUGGAAAGUUGCUUAGAAUUAUAAUUUUUUUGUUUUUUUUAUUUUGGUUGGAGGGCCCCUUCAAUAAACAGAAUGAUGUAUGCAGAGAAUAUAAAAGGAACAUAUUUUAUGUUUACAGAUACUGUAUACAAAGACAGAAAUGGCUGCAAGAAAUUAAUGAGUUAUAUACUCACGGCUGCC